rnacentral:rRNA from 1 species
UACGUAGGGUGCAAGCGUUAAUCGGAAUUACUGGGCGUAAAGCGUGCGCAGGCGGUUCCAUAAGACAGAUGUGAAAUCCCCGGGCUUAACCUGGGAAAUGCAUUUGUGACUGUGGGGCUGGAGUGUGGCAGAGGGGGAUGGAAUUCCGCGUGUAGCAGUGAAAUGCGUAGAGAUGUGGAGGAACACCGAUGGCGAAGGCAACCCCCUGGGCCUAUACUGACGCUCAUGCACGAAAGCGUGGGGAGCAAACAGG